rnacentral:lncRNA from 1 species
UGGGAACACUUACAGAUAUGGCGAGCGUCAGUUGUCCUUUGAUGAUACUCCGGUUAUUCAUGUCAGGAUGCAUCGUCCGUCUUCCUUGAGAUUCAAGCUACCCAACAUUCCUUGCAUUAACCCUGCACAAGUAGAUUUCGACUUUGAUUUCAAUGACACAAACGACGAUGGAUUUUACUACGACGAUAUUGCUAGAAAGAGUUUCUUGAAGAGUGCGGAAGAGGAAGAAGACGAAGAAGAAGAGUACUCAGGUCUAGAUGUUGAGGUAUAUGGUGAUCAGGAAAUUGAGGAACAUGAACAAGAACAAGCUGCCAAUAUUGAUACCAAAGCUGAGGAAUUCAUAGCCAAGUUCUAUGAGCAAAUGAAGCUGCAAAGACAGAUCUCAUACCUUGAAUAUCAUAAAACAAGCACAUCAGUUGACCAAAGACAUUCUUAAUUUCCCAUCUCAUCAAAAGUUUUUACUAUAUUUAUCACUGAACAUCGGAUAUACAUCUAUACAUACGUUAUACAAA